GAAAUGCGAUAAUUAAUGUGAAUUGCAGAAUUCAGUGAAUCAUCGAGUCUUUGAACGCACAUUGCGCCCCCUGGUAUUCCGGGGGGCAUGCCUGUCCGAGCGUCAUUGCUGCCCUCAAGCACGGCUUGUGUGUUGGGCUUCCGUCCCUGGCAACGGGGACGGGCCCAAAAGGCAGUGGCGGCACCAUGUCUGGUCCUCGAGCGUAUGGGGCUUUGUCACCCGCUCCCGUAGGUCCAGCUGGCAGCUAGCCUCGCAACCAAUCUUUUUAACCAGGUUGACCUCGGAUCAGGUAGGGAUACGCGCUGAACAUAAGC
rnacentral:misc_RNA from 1 species